rnacentral:rRNA from 1 species
GACCUCAAAUCAGGUAGGGCUACCCGCUGAACUUAAGCAUAUCAAUAAGCGGAGGAAAAGAAACUAACAAGGAUUCCCCUAGUAGCGGCGAGCGAACCGGGAUGAGCUCAAAUUUGUAAUCUGGCGUCCUCCGGGCGUCCGAGUUGUAAUCUACAGAAGCGUUUUCCGUGCCGGACCGUGUCCAAGUCCCUUGGAACAGGGUAUCAAAGAGGGUGACAAUCCCGUACUUGACGCGACGACCGGUGCAUUGUGAUACG